rnacentral:lncRNA from 1 species
UCAUACUAUACCAGACCUCACAAAUUAUGCAGCAAUGAUGACUGGUUAUUAAAAAGUGUAAUUAAGCCAGAAGUUCCAGAAUUUAGGAGACUGUGGAUUAGAGGCCUAGAUUCCUCAAAGUAUCUGCAGCAAAUCCUGAUUCCCAAAUCUCUAGCUUCUCCCAAUGUAAAGUGGGUGCUUAUUCUUGCCUGCAGACAGUUAGCAUCUGGCUAAUAUUAACUUCAAAUAUGUAAUUUUGGAGACCCUCAAAUAGAACAGGUUAUAAAAACGUAACACCCUCCUGGCAUUGUGAGACCCUUGUUAGCCACAUGUUUAUGCCAGGAGAUCAGUGCAAAGAAAAUUGGAGGCAAGCCUGGGGUUUGAGACUUACUUCUGCCACGAACUUGGUACACUGAGUGAGUCACAUAUCCAAAUUCUUUCUUCUUUCAUCUGUAAAUUGAAGCUUUUAGCUCAGCUUCCCUCUGAGUCCAUUCUGAUUCUGACAAACACCUCCCUCCCCAUGUUCGGCCCACAUGGCGACAGCCUUCCUGGCCUUCCCAUCCACUUCUCUGUCUCACACCCUUAGGGGGGCAGAUUGGACCAUUUUGCUCUACUUCUCUCCACCUAGAAUGUCCUUCUUCCCGUUCCACUGCAUUUCUAUGUUUUUAAAUUCCUACUUCAAGUCUCAGGGCAAACGCCACCCGCUCUGAGAAGCAUUCCCUGAUACCACAGAGGCAAAGAGUCUCCCCUCCUUUAUGAUUUUGCUGCUCUUUACCUAUACUUCUCUUCAGCACCUGCCCUUUUCUCUUUUGGGUUAUGAUGAUUUCAGGAGCCUUUUUGCAACAGCCAGGUCUCCAGGGGCAUGACUGACAUUGAUUUAUCCAUCCCACAGGGUCCAGCUCAGUGGCCAGCACAAAGCAGGAACCAAGGAAAUGGCUGAUUAACAGUCACAUGUGCACAGACACAUUGUAUUUUGUGCAGAGCAUCUGGGCUCGACUUAAACACUGAUGUUCAGCCGAUAGGAUUUGGUUCCUGGUAUACCCGCACUGUCUCUCUCCUACAAUUCAGGCCGGCAGUCUUGGACUCUGAGUCAGACUGCCUGAGUUCAAAGCCUGGCUCUGCCACUUCCCAGCUAUGAGAGCUUGGACAAGUUGCUGAACUUCUCUGUGCCUCCAUUGCUCACCUAUGCAGUGAAGAUAAUGACAGUAUUCUCUUCAUACAGCUGCCGUGCAGAUAAAAUGAGCGAAUACUUGUAAGACACUUGAAAAAGUACCCAGUGUAAAGCAAGCUCUCAAAAAAUGCUACUAGCUUUAAAUAGUAUUUUUACUACUACUAAUCAAAAGAUAACAACCAUGGGACUUCUUGCCAGUUAGCAGUAUCCUUCUCUAAUGAUAUGGAACCUGGGGACCAGUGGGGCAAAGAAGAAUUAACAGCACCUACAUAGCUCUGAUUAUGUCAAGCACUUCGUCUAAAUGUUUGCACAGAUGAACUCAUUUAAGCCCCAGAACAACUCCGUGAGUAACCUUAACAUCUGGACGCAGACAGCCCCAGCAAUCCUGGAGGAAACCUUGGAAAUACGCGGGUCAUCUUCUAUGAAGACCACAGCAGCCCUGAGAAACCAAUACAGCGUUCCAAUCUUUAAAAGAAGAGCCAAACGUCAUGCCUGGAUUAUUCCAGAAUUUUGCUGCUACGAACAAUGCUGCUAAGAUGAGUGUCUUCAAUCACUUGCACAAUUGUUUCUCUAGUCUAUAAUAUAUUCCUUGGAGUGGAGAUGCCAAGUCAUAAAUAUGUAAGAGUUCAACUUCCAUAGGCAUCACCACAACGUUUUCCAAUGUGGUUUGCGAAUGCACACUUCCACCAGCAUUCGAUUAGCAUUCCCUUUGUUCCACACACUUGUGCAUACCUGGCAUGGUCAGAGUCUAAUUUUUUCCAGUUUAGUGAAUUAAAAUGAUAUC